UUAUGUUUCAUAUACACCUUUACACAUAGUUGGAAGAUAAAACAUAUUUUAAAUAAUUUUGUGCAUGAAGCAAAGUUUGUGUACUCUGGACCAUUAGAGAGCAAAAGUCUCACUAUCUCAAUCACUCAUGUGAAGAAUUUUGGAGUGUUUUGGAUUUCAGAAUUAUGGGUAAGUGAUGCUCAAACUGUAACUAUCAAAAGUUAAAUGGAACAAAAUUAUUUUCCAACUACAUUCUACUUUCUGGUGACUGUACAUAUUAUUCAAAUGUGACUAUAAGUUUGCAUAUCAAUGUGUACCUAAUUAUGUCAGGCUGAGAAGCAGUCAAGGAAGUGUUUCUGUGUGUGGGUGCUUAUCCGAAAUGAAUCAUUUCAUGUUUCCUUAUUUUUUUAAUCAUGUUUAGUCUUUCCCUAAAAUAAAUUUCCCCUUCUUCUGUAACUUUAUUGAAUGGAAUUUGAUGCAGUAGCUUUCACACUCUUCAGGAUAAGAGGUCUGUGUGCUCUUGAGCUGCAUUACCUUUAGUGCUCUGAUCUGUAAUGGAUCUUUGAGAGCCUAAGAAAUGUCAAGGCUGCUGUCACCAAAAGUGGUCAGAGUUCUUGUUCUCUUGAAUAAAAUGGAAGAAAGUAUAACUCUGAAGAAAUAUCUCUAAAGAUUUCAGGGAUGGGCUAACAAAUCUGAUUUCUAUAAUUCCACAAUGUUCAUAUAUCUAAGGCAAAGACAUUAACCAGUCUAGUGAGUGUGUUAAGAGUCUAUCCUUCCAUCAAAGUAAAAUCCCAUGUGGAAACCUAAACAUAAUAAUUCCCAUUUCAUGUGUUAUAUUCUCUCUCUCUCUCUCUCUCUCUCUCUCUCUCUCUCUCUCUCUCUCUUUUUAAAAGGGGGAAUCUCACAAAUUGUAUGUACUUCAGGCAAAUAGGCAGAGUCCUUUCAAUGUGUCAUCUAUGAACGAAGAGGAGAUUCAUACCAUUCUCAGGAUGGCAGCCGUAUCCCGGGAGCGGUCAUACCAGGCCUGGACGCUGUUGAGGUGCUUCUUCCGGUUGUGGAGGUUGUCCUGGAAGGCGCACUCUCCAGAGUCGCAGAAGGACCGCUUCUAGAGGAGCAGUGCCAACACAGAGAUGAGUCAGUCCAUUAUCCUACAUUGAUCAGUACACGGAAAAGGUGAUAGCAUUCAUCAUCUGUCUUCUAUGGCAGGAAAAGACUGUGGAGAUGUAGCUUUCGGAGGUCACACUUAGAUGUUGGCCUAAAAACCUGGUCAUCGCCAGACUGGCCUUUCUACAUGCCUGUUCCCGGUGAUUGAAUAAAUAAGGUCUCAAUAAGA